AUUGAACGCUGGCGGCAUGCCUUACACAUGCAAGUCGAACGGUAACAGGUCUUCGGAUGCUGACGAGUGGCGAACGGGUGAGUAAUACAUCGGAACGUGCCUAGUAGUGGGGGAUAACUACUCGAAAGAGUGGCUAAUACCGCAUGAGAUCUACGGAUGAAAGCAGGGGAUCGGAAGACCUUGGACUACUAGAGCGGCCGAUGGCAGAUUAGGUAGUUGGUGGGAUAAAAGCUUACCAAGCCGAAGAUCUGUAGCUGGUCUGAGAGGCCGAUCAGCCACACUGGACUGAGACACGGCCCAGACUCCAACGGGAGGCAGCAGUGGAGAAUUUUGGACAAUGGGCGAAAGCCUGAUCCAGCAAUGCCGCGUGCAGGAUGAAGGCCUUCGGGUUGUAAACUGCUUUUGUACGGAACGAAAAGCCCCGGGUUAAUACCCUGGGGUCAUGACGGUACCGUAAGAAUAAGCACCGGCUAACUACGUGCCAGCCGCCGCGGUAA
rnacentral:rRNA from 1 species